UGUGUAAUUCUGGGUAAUUUUAGAAGCCUGAAAGAGUCACAAACCUAUCAGAGAAAAGCUAUGGCUCCUAGCCUACCCCCUGGAGCCUGGAAAUGUCAUCUUGUCUGGAACAAGACUAGAUUAGAGAGCUUCAGGGUUCCAAACAUCUACAAAUGCAUGGGUCUUCUUUUCAUAAAAUGAAUCAUAGUAAAAAUAGUGACCUCUAAUUUAUUUUAGAAACCCAGAUUUUCAUAUGUCAGGUUGAAAUGGAUCAUAAUGCUCUUCUACUUGUUCAUGUAAAUAUGCCUUGGAUCAAGAGAUUUACUUUUGAUUUUGUUAAUAAGAUUGCAAAUGUUUAUGUAAUUCAACUAAUGCUACUUUUUUCCUAGAAUGAAAACACUAAGGAAGAUGACCUUUCAGUGCAACGAGAUGAAAAUGACCCAGCACUAAUAAAUCUUAGCCAGUGUGCUAAUAAGCCUGUGAAGCAGAAGAAAGAGACAGGUUACAGUUAUGCAGUGGCCCUACAGCUGCUGGGCUUGGAUGACGGGACUGGGCCCAGUAACAGGGAUCCUGUCCUGAUGAGGGGGACCUACUUGUCCUUUCUGUAUCUGCGUCACCUGAGGAUCCGGGAGCUGCAGGUAUGUGGAUGGUCUUGCAUGCAUCUGAAUUGUUUGGUUGUCUGUA
ensembl:lncRNA